AAAGACUUAGUUAAAACAUAACAUCAGCCUGUCAGCCUGGAAUUAGCCACGGCUAGUCUUUG
rnacentral:tRNA from 1 species